rnacentral:rRNA from 1 species
UACGUAGGGUGCAAGCGUUGUCCGGAAUUAUUGGGCGUAAAGAGCUCGUAGGCGGCUUGUCGCGUCGGCUGUGAAAACCUGGGGCUCAACCCCGGGCCUGCAGCCGAUACGGGCAGCUAGAAUUCGGUAGGGGAGACUGGAAUUCCUGGUGUAGCGGUGAAAUACGGCAGAUAUCAGGAGGAACACCGGUGGCGAAGGCGGGUCUCUGGGCCGAAAUUGACGCUGAGGAGCGAAAGCGUGGGGAGCAAACAGG